ACGGCCGCGGUAUUUUGACCGUGCGAAGGUAGCGCAAUCACUUGUCCUUUAAAUGGGGACCUGUAUGAAUGGCACAACGAGGGCUUAACUGUCUCCUCUUUCAAGUCAAUGAAAUUGAUCUCUCCGUGCAGAAGCGGAGAUACUACCAUAAGACGAGAAGACCCUGUGGAGCUUUAGACACCAAAACAGACCAUGUUAAAAACCCUAAAACAAAAGAUUAAACUCAAUGCCCCCUGACUUGAUGUCUUCGGUUGGGGUGACCGAGGAGAAGAACACAACCUCCAUGCGGAAUAGGAGUACUACUCCCACAAUCACGAACCCCCGUUCUAAUUACCAGAAUUUCUGACCCUAUGAUCCGGCAACGCCGAUUAACGAACCAAGUUACCCCAGGGAUAACAGCGCAAUCCCCUUUUAGAGCCCCUAUCAACAAGGGGGUUUACGACCUCGAUGUUGGAUCAGGACAUCCUAAUGGCGCAGCCGCUAUUAAGGGUUCGUUUGUUCAACGAUUAAAGUCCUACGUGAUCUGA
rnacentral:rRNA from 1 species